rnacentral:rRNA from 1 species
AGCGAACGCUGGCGGCAGGCCUAACACAUGCAAGUCGAGCGGCCGUAGCAAUACGGCAGCGGCAGACGGGAGAGUAACACGUGGGAACGUGCCCUUUGGUUCGGAAUAACGCAGGGAAACUUGCGCUAAUACCGAAUAAGCCCUUACGGGAAAGAUUUAUCGCCAUUGGAGCGGCCCGCGUCUGAUUAGCUAGUUGGUGGGGUAACGGCUCACCAAGGCGACGAUCAGUAGCNGGUUUGAGAGGAUGAUCAGCCUCACUGGGACUGAGACACGGCCCAGACUCCUACGGGAGGC